GAUGAACGCUAGCGGGAGGCUCAACACAUGCAAGUCGUGGGGCAGCACGGGGUAGCAAUAUCCUGGUGGCGACCGGCGCACGGGUGAGUAACGCGUAUGCAACCUACCCAGUACAGGGGGAUAGCCCGGAGAAAUUCGGAUUAAUACCCCAUAAUGAUAUUAAGAGGCAUCUUUUAAUAUUUAAAGCUACGGCGGUACUGGAUGGGCAUACGUAAGAUUAGCUAGUUGGUAGGGUAACGGCCUACCAAGGCUCCGAUCUUUAGGGGUCCUGAGAGGGUGAUCCCCCAUACUGGUACUGAGACACGGACCAGACUCCUACGGGAGGCAGCAGUGAGGAAUAUUGGUCAAUGGGCGCAAGCCUGAACCAGCCAUCCCGCGUGAAGGAAGAAUGCGCUAUGCGUUGUAAACUUCUUUUCCGGAGGAAUAAAAUUUUGUACGAGUACAGGACUGAAGGUACUCCGGGAAUAAGCAUCGGCUAACUCCGUGCCAGCCGCCGCAGUAAAAC
rnacentral:rRNA from 1 species